GGGCCGGCAGCGAGGGGCUGCGUCACGGUUGUGCGGUGUGGUGCGGUGCGGGGGUGCGGCAGGGAGAGCCCCCGGCCCGCGGAGGGCUGCGGGAAGUUGGGCGCUGCGCUCCUCGCUCCGCCGCCCCCUCACAGGAAAACUGGGCGGAAGCGUCGGCUUCGGGCUCCUUCCGCCGCCACUGCGCGAUCCAAAAUAACCGCAGGGGAGCGGGGCGGAGGGAAGCGGGUGGCCCCCCCGCACACCCCUCCCUUACACUCCUCCCGCUGCCCGGCCGGGUGCGGCGCUCUCCCUGAGCCCCGCUGCCGCUCGGCUCUCCCAAAGUAGUUCCCGCGGCUCUGCCUCACGCCAUUCCCGGGAGCCGCCGCGGAGGGAUACGUGCCACAGCGCUGUGCGCUGAGUGCUGAGUGGGACGCCGCGCGGGCCGGGACCGGCGGGGCUGAUGGGUACCCCGCGGGGGAGCUCCCGCCGGGAUCCGUGUGCGCCGGGCCCGCGGGAUGGAGGCGCGAAGAGGGGCAGAUUCCUGCCAAUGAAGUCUUGAGAUAUUGUCUGCUUGCUGCUGUGCCCUCCUGAAUGAACCUAGUAAUUACCUGUAUUCAAACUGAUAACAAUCUGAGCAGCACUCCUGAGAAAACACUUUUCCACAAGAUGCCUCAAAGUCAUUCAGUCAUAGAAUUCCACCAACAUACCACACACAAUCAAUAGUUGCCCAAGUAAAAUAGGUAAGUGAAUGUAUAAAAAAGAACUAUUAAUGGAUGUCUACCAAUGCACUGCCUUCUAAUAUGAUGAUGUCACAUACAGCCACAAAACAGUCAGUUAAAAAUACACAGAUUUUAAAUGUAUUCUUGUCCAAAAGACAGCAGCUAAGAAAAUACUUUUUAAGGUAGGUUCAAAAGAUAAAAUCCCAGAUACAGUGGAGUUGGUGGCAGGCAAAAAAGCAAGGAUUGCCCAUUUGUUUUAAAGUCUUUGUAGCACCAGAAGCAUCAUUAACAUUAAAUCUAAUCUUCUGCAUAACACAGGCAUGAAACUUAAACAUACAGAACACCUUAAAAACAUAGAGAGAGACAAAAUGCUUCCCUCAAAUAGCUUCUAGCCCUAUUAAUGAUAAAAUAGCAAAUAAAAGAAAGAAAGAACAGGGGAAAUAAACAGAACAAACCUGCUAUAAUUUUAGUUUUGACAGCAUGCACACCUUCAGAUUUGCAUCCUUUAAAGGAAUUUAAAAAAAAAAAGACAAGUAAGUCCACAAAUACACAAGUGAUAUAUUUAUCAAAAAAUACUUCCUUAGGAAUUAUGAGAGAUUAUAAAACCAUUGGAUAUUCAAAGCCUCCUGUCACUGUAGGUUUUACUGUUGACGCAGGCUACAUGAUGUGGAAAUGAAGAACUGUAAAGGCAGUUAGAGAAAAGAAGAGUGUGUAAGAGCUCCCAGCUUCCACAGUCAGUUCUGCCAUUGUUGUUGUUUUGUUUUUUGGGUUUUUUUGUGUUUUUUUUUGUGGACUUCCACACAUGGUCUCAACUUUUUAAAAAUUAGAGAGUCUAUUAUCAUCUGAAUUUUUGCCUUUGAUAUAUGGAAAUCAAAAUGAAAUUCUGUAGUUGGAAGAAUAAGAUAUAUACAGGAAAAACUUUCAUCUUUUUCUUUUUUUUCCAAGUGCUUCACCAUAAGUGCAGAUCCACAGUCAAAACCAAAAAACAGAAUAUGGAGACCAAAGACACACACUGAGGACUGUUAUUGAGGCUUCAUAGAUGUGACCAUCAAUAACUAUCUGUCUUUGACAAAUCCUAAAGUCAUGUACUCAACCUGACAGUUGAGAGCAGGAUUUGUGUUAAGAAUAUUAUUCAUUAAUAUAUAUCACAAUGAUAAAUGCAAAAUAUUCGCUCUCCCACCAGAAGUGUGUAAAUUUAUGGAAAAUAGAUUACAGUGGCUGAAGCAUGUAGUGAAAAAAAUGUGAUAGAAUGUGGAUACAAACAACUGUAUUUAGAACAAAAUGCAAUACGUAAUACUUUCAUAGAAUACAUGACACAUGAUACACUGGGUUAUUCUUAGUAAUAAUCAGUGAGAAAAAACAUUCAUUAUUUCUCUCUUUUGUAGAUACUUGGAAGCAUUUUUAAGAAUAAACUACUGAAUCUUCUCUUCUGAUGUUGAAAUUCUUCUGGUUUGGGGGUUGUUUUUUUUUUUUUUUUUCCAGCGUAACAUCUUUUUGUUUGUUUAAUGAUUUUUGAAUUAAACUAAUAAAUGUGAUCUUCAUAACUUGGAAUGAACCACCAUAUUUUUCGAUGCUCAUUUGCCAUUUACCCUCAGCUGUUUCUGAAGACUAUGAAAGUUGAUUACUCAACUAAGUUUAUGCCAAUGAUUGAUCAUUUCUGCUAAUGACCACAACUCUUCUUCUAUGGGGAAUAGAAAAAGCAGUACAACAAAAACAAAUCAAAAGUCAGAAGUUUUUGCCAGAACUGAAAUCGGAAAUGCCAAAGUACUGUGAGAAGGGCUGUUCUGUAUUAGAGCUGACCCAAAUGAAACAAGGAAGUACUGCAGAAGCACAGGACAGUCUAUUUGAAGGAGGCUGCCAUCCAGUUUCCAGACUACAGAAGUUUGGAUGAGGUCAGAUAAACUCUGGAAACUGUUAAACUUCUGGAUGUAUAUCUGAACUGAACCACCAGAUCUUUGUGACUCAUGCUUUACUGAUGCCCACUUUUUGUGGAGAUGAGUAGAAAUAAAAUAGUUUUACUUUGGGAAAGAAUGUAGGAAACGUUGCACAAACCAGAAGGUUGCUUGCAUUAUCCUGAAGAUUAGAAAUGGAUUAUAAUCUGUAAUUCUGAUUGCACUGAACAAUUUAAGUAAAGAGUAGCUGGAUAGCUGGGCUGAAGCCAACGGGAUGAGUUUCAACAAGGCCAAAUGCUGGGUCCUACACUUUGGCCACAACAACCCCAGGCAAUGCUACAGGCUUGGGGCAGAGUGGCUGGAAGCCUAUGUAGAGGAAAUGGACCUGGGGGUAUUGAUUGAUGCUCAGCUGAACAUGAGCCAGCAGUGUGCCCAGGUAGCCAAGAGGCUUGCAUCAGAAAUAGCGUUGCCAGCAGGGACAAGGAAAUGAUUGCCCCCCUGUACUCAGCUCUGGUGAGGCCACACCUUGUGUACUGUGUCCAGUUUUGGGCACCUCACUGCAAAACAUUGAAGCCCUUGAGCAGGUUCAAAGAAGGGCAACAAAGCUCAUGAGGAGUCUGGAGCACAGGGCUUACGAGUAGUGGCUAAGGGAGCUGGGCUUUUUCCAUCUGGAGAAGAGGGGGCUCAGGGGAGACCUUAUCACUCUCUGAAACUACAUAAAGGGAGGCUGUAGCGAUAGAACUGGAGGAAAUGGCUUCAAGCUGCACCAGGGAAGAUUUAGGCUGGAUGUUAGGAAAUACUACUUUUCUGAAAGAGUGGUCAGGUGCUAGAAUGGGCUGCCCAGGGAGGUGGUGGAGUCACCAGCCCUGGAGGUGUUCAAGGAACAUUUGGAUUUUGUGUUGAGGGAUAUAGUUUAGCGAGAACUAUCAAUGAUGGGUGAAUGGUUAGACUGGAUGAUCUUGUAGGACUUCCCAAAGCUUGGUGUUUCUGUGAUUCUGUGAAUAUGCCCUUGAAGUCAAUUGAGAUAAACUGGUUCAUCUGGAAGACAACUUCUGUGAUAUCUGUUAAUGACAUGCAGUUAAAUUGGAGACAUUCUGGGCCUUACUUAUCCAUCACCUAAACUGCAAUUGCUUCAAUGAUAGAUAUUUCAUUAGGAAUAGAGUUGGUUCACUAAUCCUAGUUUGUCUCAUUUUUCUCCCCAGUUGAUGUUGUUCUGCCACAGUUUAUAAUGGCGACUCUGUGUUGGAACAACAUUUAUGAUCACAGUGGCUUAGUCUCUCACAGUCGUAUCUGUUGUCUAUUUGCAAAUCAAAGCUUGACUUGUAAAUCCAGAAUUACAGAAUCACAUAAAUAGGUACCAUAUAGUUUUGGGCUUGAAAAUGAAAGCUGUGACCUGGCUUUGCUCAUUAAAAACAGAUGUUUUCAAUCUC